AUUGCUUGAGCCAAGGAGGCGGAGGCUGCAGUGAAUCGAGAUCUCCGGGCGGCAGCGUAGGAAAGCUCACAUCCAGCGUGGCUGCCCCGUCAUGACAAGCGGACAGAUGCCUUAGGCCUCAGGUGGCCCAUCUGUAAGUGCGGCCGAGCGACAGCACCUCCAUCACAGGGCUGGGUGUGGGGUGCGCAGGCCGGCCCCUGGAAGUGAGUGCUGUGGUGCACUGAGGCCUGAGGCCCGGCUCCAACUGAGGCAGCUCAGAGAGGACCCGCCCAGCUCCCGGCCCCAGCCUGGCAUCUCCCCUCUGCUCAGGCCUCAGGCGCAGCUGCAUCCUGGAGUCAUUCUGAGAAAUCCAGGAGCUGCCCACCUCCACCCCAGGCAGCGAGUACCAGCCAGCCCCAGAGCUGCCCACCUGCCCUGACAGGUGCACAGGUCAGCAUCAGGCCAAGCUGAGAGCGAGAACCCUGGUGUGGACUGAGCUGGAGCAGCAGGGCGGCCUGCACAGGUGAGGCAGCCAGGAACAGUCAGUGCAGCUGUGCCCAGGCCUGGGCAGGGCAGCCUCGGGAGGGUGCUGACUGCGGAGGGGUGUCCGGAGGGCCUGCCCCACCAUGGAGAAACCUGUGGGGAAGAAGGCGGCGGGAGCGAGGGCGGGCUGGUCUUGGUGGCCCGAUCCUAGCGUGUCCCGAUGCUAGCUGUGCCUUGCUCCCACCUGGGCUGCAGGCAAAGGGCCGGUUUGGAGAUUCUGCUGGGCAUCAGGCCACUGCGGCCAGCGGCCAGAAAGCUCCCUGGGGCCUCAGGACACUGGGCUGCCUAAAAUGACGAUUAUUCUCUGACAGCUCAGGUCGCCAAAGUCCAAAAUCAGUGGCCGGGAGGGCUGCGCUCCCUCUCAAGGUUGGGGGCGGCUCCUUCCAGCCCCUUCCAGCCCGGGCCCCUGGCAUUCCUUGGCUUGUGGCCGCACCAUCCCCCAGCCCCAAGCCUCCUCCCCGUGUCUGUGUGUCCAAAUUUUCCUUUCCUGUUUUCUGAGAUGGAGCCUUGCUCUUGUUGCCCAGGCUGGAGUGCAACGGCACAAUCUCCGCUCUCUGCAUCCUUUAUCUCCAGGUUCCAAGAACACUCAUCAUGCUGCAUCCAAGGCCAGCCCUAACCCAGUGUGGCCUCAAGCUGAUUUGAUUAAUGGGCGCAGACCCCGCUUCCAGUCAAGGCCACCUUCUCAGGUACUGGCGGGCAUGAGUCUCUGGAGACAGCACGCAACCCUCAGCACUCUGCCAGCUUGGUGUCUGUGACUCAUUUUCCCCAGAGGACAGGCGUCCCGAGAGGUCUCCACUCCCUGGCUGGCUCCUUGGUGCCAAGCACUCCUCCAGGCUUCCCAGGGAACAGAGCACACAGCACCGCCCUCCUGGGAAGACGAGCCAGCAUCCGUGCGCGCAACUCUCGAGCAGGACAGUGGGGUGGAGCGAGCAGCCUGGGCUGGGCUCAGGAGGGGACAGGGAAUGUCAGAGCAGGGUCUGGGGCCAAUAAAAGCCCACCCCUGGGGUGGGGGCUGAGGAGGGCAGGGGGCUGAGCCUCAAGGAUGGAGAACAGGCUGUGGGAGGCAUGAGGGGGAGAGGUGGGUUCUCUGGGUGCUUGAGGGGUGUUGGGGACCUCAAGAGAGGGCGGCUGGCCCUCUCUGGUCGGGGACGCUGGCUCAGAGACAGGCCAUGGCUGAGGGUUCAGAAACAGGACCGCUGUCUCUCUUGGGCCAGGCCCCUCCUCAGCUGCCCCUGGCUAUCUGGCUCUCGAGGGUGAGGGCAGGCCUGUGCCAUGACCACACCACUGAGGCUAUGAGGAGGUUGUGGGUACCCACGGGCAGCAAGGCAUACCCCUACUCCCACGCCCCCAUGUGUGGGCCCGAGCACCUGCCCUGCUGCCCCACGGAUCCUGAAACAUUUCCCAGGCAACGGUCUCAACACCGCCUGUCUGCCUGGCACUCCCAUACCCUAUAAAUGCUGCCACAUCUGACUCUGGGCAGGCGUGUCUCCCUGGCACCCCCAGGCUGGCAGGUGUAGGGGAGCACAGCCCGCUGUCUGGCUGCGUCAGAAGGCUGCCCCGGCCAGCCAGCAGGCAAGCACUGCCAGGGCACCUUGUGUGGGUGCCGUGCCAUUUUGCCACGUGGUAGGGUGGAGGCAGCCCAGUGCCUUGAGCGUGUGCCCAGGCUGCCUGCUGGCCGCAGGUCUUGCUAAGCAGUUAGGAGGGGGCACUGCCACUGAAUGCCCGGGCCUGCAGCCUCACAGCCAUCACCGCUGCGUUAACCUGAUUUGCAGGUGUCAGUGCUGAGCAGAGACUCUGAGGAUGCCAGUGGCUGGGACACUUGUUCCUUCAAGGUGGAAGGAGUGAGAGAGGGCUGGCUCCCUACCUGCGGCCAGCAGACCUCACCUGGCUUCUGAAACCAGCUCUGUGGGUUGGGGCCCGAUUCAUUAUCCACAGAUGCGUCCUUUUAUGCCACAGAGGCAGCAGAUGGCUUGGAAGAAGUGAGCCUCUUCAUCAAGUUCAAUGUUGAAACUUCCACCAGCAGCACCAGCAGCACCACGGU